rnacentral:sRNA from 1 species
UACAGGCGCCCGCCACCACGACUGGCUGAUUUUUUUGUAUUUUGAGUAGAGACGGGGUUUCACCAUGUCAGCCAGGAUGGUCUCGAUCUCCUGACCUCGUGAUCCACCCGCCUUGGCCUCCCAAAGUGCUGUGAUUAUAGGCGUGAACCCCUGCUUCUUGAAGCCGGGGCUGUUUCUAGGGACAGCUUCCCCAGGACGCCUUUGGCUCUCCAGCUGGGAGAUCCAGCAACCUCCGGGACACGGCGGGGCAAAGCUGUGCACGGGGCACGGGGCAGGGGCGCGGGCUCCCUUCCCCCCACCCUCUGUGGCCCGGCCUGCCAUGCAGAGCCGGGGCCGGCGCUGAGGAGCGCGUGUGCCUCUUCCAGGUGUAAGUACUGCGACCGCUCCUUCAGCAUCUCUUCGAACCUCCAGCGGCACGUCCGGAACAUCCACAACAAGGAGAAGCCUUUCAAGUGCCACCUGUGCAACCGCUGCUUCGGGCAGCAGACCAACCUGGACCGGCACCUCAAGAAGCACGAGCACGAGAACGCACCAGUGAGCCAGCACCCCGGGGUCCU